AGCUAUGUGAUAUAUAACCUUACCUCCAUAUAUGUUCAUGUGAUACAGGCAAGAGGACUUCUUCACUCCGUAUGAUGAAGUUUGUGAGAGUUUUGAUGACAUGGCCAUCCAAGAGAAUCCUUUUAGAGGAAUUUAUACUUAUGGAAACAACACGAACACAGGAGCGGCGGCCACAACGCCCGUGGCACUUGAAAAGGAGAAAAAGAAGAGAAAAAGAAAGCGCAGGGGAAGGAAGGCAAGGAGCACACCGACGAUCGUGCAGCCCAACCGCAACAACAAGAAUAGUCACUUUGCUUUUGGAAGACGGUCUGUAGGUUAGCCAAGCAAAUGGGUUGCAUCUUUGGGUGAACCCGUGUCUAACCAUAUUGACAGAAAUAGAAAUUACUAUACGGUGAAAAAUUUCCUUCA